rnacentral:tRNA from 1 species
GAGGCUGUAGCGAAGUGGCUUAACGCAUUAGGGACGCCUAAUUUCGAGGGUUCGAAUCCCUCCAGCCUCA